rnacentral:rRNA from 1 species
UAAGGAAUAUUGGUCAAUGGAGGCAACUCUGAACCAGCCAUGCCGCGUGCAGGAAGACGGCCCUCUGGGUUGUAAACUGCUUUUAUUCGGGAAUAAACCUAUCUACGUGUAGAUAGCUGAAUGUACCGAAGGAAUAAGGAUCGGCUAACUCCGUGCCAGCAGCCGCGGUAAUACGGAGGAUCCAAGCGUUAUCCGGAUUUAUUGGGUUUAAAGGGUGCGUAGGCGGCCUAUUAAGUCAGGGGUGAAAGACGGUAGCUCAACUAUCGCAGUGCCCUUGAUACUGAUGAGCUAGAAUGAACUAGAGGUAGGCGGAAUGUGACAAGUAAGGGUGAAAUGCAUAGAUAUGUCACAGAACACAGAUUGCGAAGGCAGCUUACUAUGGUUUUAUUGACGCUGAGGCACGAAAGCGUGGGGAUCAAACA